GUACAGACUAGCAGCGGUUCGGCGACAGAAGCACUCUGGCAAUGCAAUGUCAAUGCGUAGACUCCAGGAGGUGUCACGAUGUUCCGUACGAGGGUGUCGCAGCCGAAAGCUAACGGUAACACAGUACUGCUGCGACGUGCGUGUGUUGUCUGGUGAUUUUGUAGCAUCUUAAUGAGGUGAUAAUGUGUACAAACCCCCCAUUACCACCACCCUCAAGUAACGUCUUCUAACGGCGUGCUGUGGUGAAAGUAGAUUUUUGGUGGGUUUUUUUAGAUAAAUGAAGCCACCGAGGCAAAAACAAAAUACUUUCCUUGGCUCCUGACACAUUGUAAAACAGAAAUAAACAGAGAGACUCAGGCAGCGAACAGAGAGAUUCCAGACAAGGGCGGGAAGGUACUGUUCUCGGGAUGUAAAGGCUAACCUAACCCCCACUCCAGAGCUGAAAGUGGUGUUACAGCGUUUUGUGUUCGCUGGUACAGUAAUAAACCUACAGGUACAGUACCUGUUGUGACGUUUGACUCCCAGUCAAAUGUCAUAAAGCAACACUGAUGAUCUGCCUAAUUACCAGACCAGGCGUUGCAGAUGAAGGGGGGACUCCUGUGAAAGCUGCAUGUAAAUAUUAUGUGUGACCACUGCAGGAAGCAUUACAUGCUGCACAUUUGCAAUGCCAGCCGAGCCCCAGGUUGCAGACAUUGUCUUGUGGGAUCCAGCCUGGACAAGCAUGUGUCCGUUCGCUGGUCACUGAGCGCUACAUGCCCUCAUCCCUCCUGCGCUCGGUGGAGUUUAGGUCUGAUGAAGAGAGACAGUACUUGGUUAUUUACACAUGACGACUGUAAGUCUGGUUCUGCCAAGUCCUGCCUGUUGUUGAAGCGUCUCUCCAGCGAGAUUCACUCUGGACACUGAUCCCUGAAGACAGCUGUCAAGUCUGGCUGCGCUGAUGGGACCUGGAUCCACACGUGUCCUGGGGAAUGUUCCGAUCCUGUUGCUCUGCGUUUCUUUUGUUCUGUAUUCAAUAAACUGCUGUUUGCGCUA